CACUCAUUGAGUGGUUCUAUCACAGGGGGAGAAGGGCAAGAGUAUUGUUGAUAGGAUUUGAUACAGCUGUGUGCCUUCAUUAAUUAUAUAACCAUGGGAAGAAGAGCAAAGGGAGAGUGGAUACCACAAGUGUCCCUGGGAAGGUGUCACUGAAACUCACAUCUCCACUUGGCCACUGUAUGAAGUACGGGACAAGGAGACCCACACCUACCCCCUGCACAAAGGGCACAGGGAUGAAUGACAGAAGAAACCAGGCCCUAGCAAUUUCAUGCAAGUCCUGCUCAAGUCUUUUGUGAGAUCAGUCCACCUUGGGACUUUUCUGGUAUUAGGGAUAAUUAAUUUCAUUUUGGGUAAGCCAGUUUGGUUCGGGCAUUCUGUCACUUAUGACACAUAAUUGGAAGGGAUCGAUUCAAAGUGACGAGAAAUGGAAGACUUAUCUUCAAAUCUGGGAUUUUGGAGCCAACAUUAGAGCUUGACCACUAAUUUCAAACUACAGCCUUUUAAAGUUCUGAAGUUUGAGGGAACCAGAAGUGGAAGUGUCAAAACUCUCACCAGGAAGCUUGUUACGAGAUGUUCUACCCAAGCUGGCACCCUCAGGUUCCCACUUGUGAAGUUAUUCCUGAAGUUAUUCUGUCUGAAACUUCCCCUUCAUUGACAAUUCAACAUCUCUGCACUACAAUCAUCUUCCCUGAUCUACAAUCAGCAAACAAAGAAAAGGAACCCAGGCAGAAGAGUAAGGUGAACAGAAAAGAAGGACCAGAUGGUGUAUAUUUAGGGGGAUUCAUAUAAGAUGAGGCUGGUCAUGAUAGAAGCGUACUUAGAAGCUUGCCCUUGGCUGCAAGAGAUGAGGCUCCCCACUUAGGACAGAGGAAGGAAAUGGGGCACC